UUGCAGUGAUGUUUAUUCCUGCCAUUCAUAGUUUCUACCAGAGAUCACAAGACCAAAGAUGGCUCAGACCUUCCUUGGAUGUCUGAGCAA
rnacentral:snoRNA from 12 species